GGUAACCUGCCUGUAAGACUGGGAUAACUCCGGGAAACCGGGGCUAAUACCGGAUGCUUGUUUGAACCGCAUGGUUCAAACAUAAAAGGUGGCUUCGGCUACCACUUACAGAUGGACCCGCGGCGCAUUAGCUAGUUGGUGAGGUAAUGGCUCACCAAGGCAACGAUGCGUAGCCGACCUGAGAGGGUGAUCGGCCACACUGGGACUGAGACACGGCCCAGACUCCUACGGGAGGCAGCAGUAGGGAAUCUUCCGCAAUGGACGAAAGUCUGACGGAGCAACGCCGCGUGAGUGAUGAAGGUUUUCGGAUCGUAAAGCUCUGUUGUUAGGGAAGAACAAGUACCGUUCGAAUAGGGCGGUACCUUGACGGUACCUAACCAGAAAGCCACGGCUAACUACGUGCCAGCAGCCGCGGUAAUACGUAGGUGGCAAGCGUUGUCCGGAAUUAUUGGGCGUAAAGGGCUCGCAGGCGGUUUCUUAAGUCUGAUGUGAAAGCCCCCGGCUCAACCGGGGAGGGUCAUUGGAAACUGGGGAACUUGAGUGCAGAAGAGGAGAGUGGAAUUCCACGUGUAGCGGUGAAAUGCGUAGAGAUGUGGAGGAACACCAGUGGCGAAGGCGACUCUCUGGUCUGUAACUGACGCUGAGGAGCGAAAGCGUGGGGAGCGAACAGGAUUAGAUACCCUGGUAGUCCACGCCGUAAACGAUGAGUGCUAAGUGUUAGGGGGUUUCCGCCCCUUAGUGCUGCAGCUAACGCAUUAAGCACUCCGCCUGGGGAGUACGGUCGCAAGACUGAAACUCAAAGGAAUUGACGGGGGCCCGCACAAGCGGUGGAGCAUGUGGUUUAAUUCGAAGCAACGCGAAGAACCUUACCAGGUCUUGACAUCCUCUCACCAUCCUAGAGAUAGGACGUCCCCUUCGGGGGCAGAGUGACAGGUGGUGCAUGGUUGUCGUCAGCUCGUGUCGUGAGAUGUUGGGUUAAGUCCCGCAACGAGCGCAACCCUUGAUCUUAGUUGCCAGCAUUCAGUUGGGCACUCUAAGGUGACUGCCGGUGACAAACCGGAGGAAGGUGGGGAUGACGUCAAAUCAUCAUGCCCCUUAUGACCUGGGCUACACACGUGCUACAAUGGACAGAACAAAGGGCAGCGAAACCGCGAGGUUAAGCCAAUCCCACAAAUCUGUUCUCAGUUCGGAUCGCAGUCUGCAACUCGACUGCGUGAAGCUGGAAUCGCUAGUAAUCGCGGAUCAGCAUGCCGCGGUGAAUACG
rnacentral:rRNA from 1 species